rnacentral:rRNA from 1 species
UGAGGAAUAUUGGUCAAUGGGCGAGAGCCUGAACCAGCCAAGUAGCGUUCAGGAUGACGGCCCUAUGGGUUGUAAACUGCUUUUAUGUGGGGAUAAAGUGCGUGACGUGUCAUGCAUUGCAGGUACCACAUGAAUAAGGACCGGCUAAUUCCGUGCCAGCAGCCGCGGUAAUACGGAAGGUCCGGGCGUUAUCCGGAUUUAUUGGGUUUAAAGGGAGCGUAGGCUGUCUAUUAAGCGUGUUGUGAAAUUUACCGGCUCAACCGGUGGCUUGCAGCGCGAACUGGUCGACUUGAGUAUGCAGGAAGUAGGCGGAAUUCAUGGUGUAGCGGUGAAAUGCUUAGAUAUCAUGACGAACUCCGAUUGCGCAGGAAGCUUACUGUAGCAUAACUGACGCUGAUGCUCGAAAGUGCGGGUAUCAAACAGG